GUAGCUGUAGCUCAGUGAUAGAGCACUUGCCUGACAAGUGUGAGGCACUGGGUUCAAUCCUCAGCACCACA
rnacentral:tRNA from 1 species